rnacentral:rRNA from 1 species
UACGGAGGGUGCAAGCGUUGCUCGGAAUUAUUGGGCGUAAAGGGUAGGUAGGUGGUCUCAUUUGUCUAGGGUGAAAGCCUUGAGCUUAACUCAAGAAGUGCCCUAGAAACGGUGAGACUGGAGUCCUGGAGAGGGUCGUGGAAUUCCCGGUGUAGCGGUGAAAUGCGUAGAGAUCGGGAGGAACACCAGAGGCGAAAGCGGCGACCUGGACAGGUACUGACACUCAACUACGAAAGCGUGGGGAGCAAACAGG